UGACAAACCGGAGGAAGGUGGGGAUGACGUCAAAUCAUCAUGCCCCUUAUGAUUUGGGCUACACACGUGCUACAAUGGACAAUACAAAGGGCAGCGAAACCGCGAGGUCAAGCAAAUCCCAUAAAGUUGUUCUCAGUUCGGAUUGUAGUCUGCAACUCGACUACAUGAAGCUGGAAUCGCUAGUAAUCGUAGAUCAGCAUGCUACGGUGAAUACGUUCCCGGGUCUUGUACACACCGCCCGUCACACCACGAGAGUUUGUAACACCCGAAGCCGGUGGAGUAACCUUUUAGGAGCUAGCCGUCGAAGGUGGGACAAAUGAUUGGGGUGAAGUCGUAACAAGGUAGCCGUAUCGGAAGGUGCGGCUGGAUCACCUCCUUU
rnacentral:rRNA from 1 species